UAUAAGCUAAACAAAAUAACUGCUAGCUCAAUGCUGUCUACAAAAUGCCGAAAAAGACAUUCCUGAAAUUGUUUGUUUUUUUUCCGGCUCUGUUAUUUGGAGUCUUUCUGUUAACAUCAAGCACGUGUGAACAAAUGGAAACAAAAAUUGACAAGGUCUUUGAGAUUGUACAAGAAAUCCACAAAAAGUUAUAUACAGGUAUCCCAAAAGAAGUGGCUCAUAGCAGAUCAACAUAUCAAAGCUCAACAUGGAGACCUCAGUUUCCGUCGAGUUUGGCUGUUGAUGGAAGUCUUGAAACAAUACAACACACAGAUAUACAGCAAAACCCUUACUGGGUAUUAGAUCUUGGACAAAUGUACAGUAUCACAAGCGUAGAAGUUUACAAUGAACCAAAUGGCAACGGUGAACGAUUCCGUGAUGUAGAUAUUUUGGUCGGAGAGCGCCAUGAUAACCAUAUGGCGCUGUGCGCACAUUAUGUAGGACCAAGUCAUACAGAAGCCCAUCAUAUAUUCGAUUGUAACAGAGUUUUGAAAGGCAAAUUUGUGAAGAUAACAAUCAGGCAAAGAGCAUACCUACAUAUGGCUAAAGUGAAAGUGAAUGCUUUAGUGUAAUGCGAUAAUAUUAGAAAAGGAGCAACACUUGAUAUCCUUAUAAGGGCGUAUCGUUUUUUAUUUUGUUUCGCGUCAAUUUUACAUUUUACGUUAUUCUUACAUAUAACACAUAUAGAAAAGUACGCAUGGGUAUUAAAUUGAUUUAUUCCAUCAUCAAAAUAAUGAAUUAUUUCGUACAUAUAAAAAAAAGAAGAUGUGGUAUGAUUGCCAAUGAGACAACUCUCGACCAGAGAGUACACUACCUUGGUCUUUAAAAACUGCAUGAACAAAUACACAUAUUUAUUUUCAAAAGAUCAUCUAAAAUAUUUUUUGUGUUUUUUUAAUAUAAAAAAAAUUUACACAAACUGAGAAAAACUCAAAAUUUUGCCGAAUGUAUAAAUAACAUACAUUUUAAAUUGAAAUGCCACCGUAUGCCCAUACAUGUCAAUAGUUAAUAACAAACAUAACAAAACCAAUGAACACAUACAUAAUACAACAACACACUGCUGAGAUUCAUAUAAAAUAUAUGUUCAGUGAUUCGCUGCUGUCAGCUGUCUUAGCAACCUUUUAAGUUUUUUUUAUUAGCAUGCUGCAAUGUUGCAGCAAUAAAUAGAACUUUGCUUCAAUUUCAUAUAUAUGGUUGAUAUUAUGUUAUGUUGCUUUAAUAAAAGUCUUUUCUGUA